rnacentral:rRNA from 1 species
GUCCAUGCCGUAAACGUUGGGCACUAGGUGUGGGUCUCAACCAACGAGAUCCGCGCCGUCGCUAACGCAUUAAGUGCCCCGCCUGGGGAGUACGGUCGCAAGACUAAAACUCAAAGGAAUUGACGGGGCCCGCACAAGCAGCGGAGCGUGUUGCUUAAUUCGAUGCAACGCGAAGAACCUUACCUGGGUUUGACAUGUAGGGAAAAGCUCUAGAGAUAGGGUGUCCUUCGGGGCCUUACACAGGUGGUGCAUGGCUGUCGU